UGCACUUUGAAAGGAGAGAAGGAACAAGUGUGGGCUGUGUAGCUGGAAAUACAGUCUAAAAGACAGACACUGCUGCCAUUUCUGCCAUACACAGUGGGAAGCAUAGAGCUGGGCAGUGGUUCGUGAAGAAAGAAGCACAAGGAGAGCAGCUGGUGAGCAGUGUGAGAGUUAAAGGCCCAGGCAGGGGUCAAGGGGCACAAAAGGGAAAAUAAAGCACCACGCCCUGAACUGCAUCCAUUUCUACAAGAAGAGAACAGGAGACAAGAGAAGGGACACAUGACUGCUGGGAUCCCUGUCAGUGUGUCCAUCUCUAAAGAGAUGAGUCAACAGGAACAACUGCUCCAGUGACUUCUUGGAGGUACCACCACCAAAGGUUUUCAAGAUGAAGCUGGACAAGGUGCUACAUAACCUUAUCUAGGCUUCCUUUCCUACAAGAAGUGGAACCAGGUGAUCUUUUGAGGUCCCUCACAAGCUGGGCUGUUGUAUGAUUCUAUGAACCCUCUCGUUUCUGCUCAGGAAAUGAGUCCCUAACACAAGUCAUUACUUAGGCACGCCCCAGGAACACAUCCCUAUUAAUUAGCUUAAGCUGUUUGCUGCCUGUAAUGAAUCUC
rnacentral:lncRNA from 1 species